CCCUUAGAUGUCCUGGGCUGCGCGCGCGCUACACUGAUGUGUCCAGUAAGCACCUAACCUCUUCCGAAAGGAACGGGUAACCUUUGCAAAGCACAUCGUGAUGGGGAUAGAUUAUUGCAAUUAUUAGUCUUGAACGAGGAAUUCCUAGUAAGCACAAGUCAUCAGCUUGUGUUGAUUACGUCCCUGCCCUUUGUACACACCGCCCGUCGCUCCUACCGAUUGAAUGUUCCGGUGAGCUCUUCGGACUGCGCGGUCUGCAGUUUCUGCGUUCCGUGCGGAAAGUUGCGCAAACCUUAACAUUUAGAGGAAGGAGAAGUCGUAACA
rnacentral:rRNA from 1 species